UACGUAGGGUGCGAGCGUUAAUCGGAAUUACUGGGCGUAAAGUGUGCGCAGGCGGCAGAGCAAGUCGAGUGUGAAAGCCCCGGGCUUAACUCAGGGCUUGCUUUCGAUACGGGCAGACUAGAGGUAUGCAGGGGAGAACGGAAUUCCUGGUGUAGCGGUGAAAUGCGCAGAUAUCAGGAGGAACACCGGUGGCGAAGGCGGUUCUCUGGGCAUGAUCUGACGCUGAGGAGCGAAAGUGUGGGGAGCGAACAGG
rnacentral:rRNA from 1 species